UCAGAGAGAAAACGCGAGUUACAUUCCUUUAAUUCGUUUUAGUAAUUACUAAACAUAUUCCAUUAAAAUAACUAAGGUCAGGAGAGCAGAGAGAAAGCAGGGGCUCGCUAACCAAUACUAAAGGCUGUAUUAUUUCUGUUAUCAGGAUCAUGUCUCUGGGCUCGGUCAGGCCACACGACUUCAUCUACAUCACAGGCAAUAUUCUCCCUAUCUAGACAACGGAAAAAAAAUCCUUUUGCAUGCCGUAUCCAGGCUUGAAAAGAAUCCACUCUAAUGUCAUCACAGGCUUCAUCCAUUGACUGGAGUACAUUUUCCUGGAUAUGCUAAGAAGAAUUCCUCACAUGGGUUUAGGAAGAGAGAGUAUGCUGGAAGGCUUGGAUUUAUGAAAUGGAGGUUAUUGAUAAAUCACUCACAUAUGUUUUGACAACAGUGAAAGCUCACACUGUCCCAAACGACAACAUACACAGGAUGCUUUCUCAGCUCAGGUUCCCCGCUCAAGUCCAUGUUCUGAUACAGAAUUCUGAUCGGACUGCUCUUGUUUUUGGUCAUCCUCAUCUUUCUCCUCGCCACCACCUCCGACACACUCCCCUCUUCUUCUUCUAUUGUUGCCCUCCAUUGCUAAAGUCACAAUAGAGCUCAGAAACACACAUUUGAACUGACUUUUAUCCUGUUUACCUACUAAUUUUAACCCUUGUCACAAUAUUCUAAUUUUCUGAGAUACUGAAUUUGGGGUUUUCAUUAGUUAUCAGUUAUAAUCAUCAACAUGAAAAGAAAUAAA